AAAAGACUGCUAGAAUUGUACAAUAAGUUUACACUAUAUAACUAAAAGCUCCACGAGAUAUAAAUGUAGCAACUCCGUGUAAAAGAUUAGGAGGGAGCAUAUGUUUCCUUCUUUGGGUACUUACUGGGAAAGCCAUUGUUUUUUUCUUAUAUUGCUCUCAUCCCCCCAUUUUUCUCAGCCGUUUAGACUUUAUAAGCUAUCACUAUACGACAUGUACAUACAUUUCUACUGUGCUUAGUCUAAUACCCCUGUAUAUUGUGAUUUCAGAUCGAUCUGAAAAACACUAUUUUUCUACUGAGCUCCCUGUAUAAUUAUCCCAUGUGAAGUACACAACUUACUCAGGGUAUUACAGAAACCAGUCUGUCAGUCUAAUCAUUUACACCGAGUGUGACGAAAGCACCUUCGUCACUGGGAUUUGGAGAGGCCUGCUUGCCAGCCUCUUGCCCUAGGACUAUGGCUCAUGUAUUAGACCUGGAUGCAGGACUGGGGAAAGGCUUUGGUUCGUGCCUUUUUCCUUCUACAGUCAUUAUAUGAGACUACCGAAUGGAUUGUGCCUAUGGUGUUCGUUUAUACGAACACACUACCGAACAGCGAGACCACACACAAGUGGAGUGUGCAGCCAAUUUACCACCCAGGCUGGGAGCUAAACUGCAGCCAAAUUGACGGACAGCUGGGUGGCCGCCGUUCGUAUAGUCAAACACGUGGCGGCGGCCAUCUUGUUUAGGCGAACAUGGUCAGCGGUGUUUUGCCGUCGAGUGCAUGGAACUAAAAUCGGACACUCGACGAGACGAACACCGCUGGGACUUCCAUCCAAUUUCGUCAAAAGGCACACGAACAGAGUGCCAUUCGGUAGAAGUAAUCUACAGAACGCCAUUCACCACUACCUUAGCGCACGAAAGUCUCGGUUUGUCUAUUCAACCUCUAUUUUGAUCGUGGAAAUAGACUAACCACACAGCCCAAUUAUGUGGAACUAUUUUGGGCAUGAAAGCCAUGCUUGCAGGCAGUCAAAAGAGACUUCCAUAAAACUUUUGAACCCCUGCUCUGAUCUGGGUGAUUUUUGGAUAUGUUGUUCACCCAGAUUUGGGCUAUCCGGGGAUAAUAUUUAUGGGGGUAUCUUAUGUUUUAGGGUGCUUUCUGGACUUUGGGGGAAAUGUGUGUUUUUCUACCUGUGGAUAAUUAGGUUACUGUAUUAACUCCUUUAAUUAUAUCACAGGCAGAGGGGAGGGCUUGUGUGUCAUGUGCCUGUGUUCCAUCAGGUCCAGGGGGUGUGCCUCUGGCCAAAGGAAUUGUAUAAAUUGUGAGUACUGGCUUGCAUUAAACAGUCCUGCUUACCCCUUCAUGAAGUCUUGGCUCAUGUUUGGGGGAUUGGAGUACCACACUCUGGGGAUUGCUAUAAUCACUAUACUCCCCAGAGUAUAAUCACUAGCUCUUGUAAGAGCUUGUUCCUGUUUCGCUCUCUGGAUUUAAGGAGAGGUUCACCCACUGGAAGAUGAAGCCCGGUCUUGGGUCCAGGGUGGAAGACGGCGAAACCCCAACCAAGCUGUGGCGGUUCGUGGGGUUUGCGGUGGUUAUGGUGUCAAGUGCGGUGCUGAUGGUCCUUGGAGAGCACUAGGAGCAUCAUUUGAUGGAGGCACCCAGUCGGAGUGGCAGAGUUGCUACAUUUGUAUCUCGUGGAGCGUUUAGUUUUAUAGUGUAGACUUAUGGUACAAUUCUAGCAGUCUUUUAACUAUUAUCUUCUACACAUUUAGUUUGAUCACUCUUUUGUUGCACGAACACUAUUCCUUUGUGCUUAUUUUUUAUCAUAUCUUCUCUUAAUAAAGUUUAUUACCUUAUGUGAAGAAGUCCCUCUUUAUGUUUAGUAUUUCUCCCCUGUUCAUUCGGUAGAUGUAACUACCGAACAGAGACCACCCCCCUGGCUCGUUAAACUUCAAAGAAUGCCUCAAUUGAACCCUCUACCUAUGCAGCCGAACGCCACGUGGCUGAGAAAACGGUGGCCAUCUUUUUUUAUGCGAACAAAGGCAGCGGGACUUGGUCAUCGAGUGUCUGGAACUAAAAUCGGACACUCGACUUCCCGAAAAACCGGUCUCAACAUACGAACGCUGGAGCUUUAUUUCCCAAACAUCUACAAGAGCGCUGUUCGGUACUUUUGUUCAUUCGAAUGAGGGGAACAAUCGCUGCUAAAAGCCAGGGGAAACCGUUCGUGGGAUUAUUUGGUUUUUGCUACUUAACGAAAUAGACCGGCAAAACUACCCAAACGCAUGGAACUGUUUUGGGCAGCCACCUCGCGGUUAGCCGGUCACAAAAGACUUCUAUAUUUUUUGAGAACCCCUGAACGAUCUGGGUGAAAUUUGAAUAUGUUGGUCAUCCAGAUCGGGGCUAUCAGGGGACAUAUUGUUUGUGGGGAUACCAUAUGCCUAAAGGAGUGUUCUGAAUAUUGGGGAAAACUGUAAUUUUUCUGCCUGGAGAUAAUCAAGUUAUUACUUCAUCAAACUUGAUUAUCUCCAGGACUAGGGGAGGGAAUUGUAUGUUUGUGCUGGGAGUGUUUUACGUUUUUCUUGUAAAUGAUUGGAUGUACUUUGUCCCUCCCUGUGGGAUGUCCCCUUGCAUGGGGACUUGCAUAAAAGCCAGUGUGUGAUCAUUAAAAGCCAGUUCUGUUGCACUCUUCUUCUAGACUUCGGCUGAUGUUUGGGGGAUUCGUAUGCUUUAUUAAGGGAAUCAUCUUGUAAAGCUAUUGUAUUCGUAUGGAUUUCGUUUAUUUCAUCUACCGAACGGAGAGCUAGAAUCACUGAUGCUCUGGCGGCUCAGGAGGAAACUACCGAAUGAGGAUUGGAUAUCCUAGGUUUCUUACACCUUAUAUUGAUCUCUACACAAGAGGUCAUUUCGGUGGGGCUGGCUGGUUUUCCAUUUUAAUGAAUAACCCUAAAACAAAACAAAAAAUUACAUUAAAAAAAAAGUGAUGGAUAUUUACAGUUAUAAAAGGCUUCAGAGAGGCCACAUACUCCUCUCUGUAAAGGAGCAAACUACAUUGGAUAUCCUACUCAUUCAGCAGAUGGUAAAUAAGUAACCACUGGUAAUUCUAUGCUGGCUCUGGGUUUCUAGAGACUAUAAUAUGAUAGUGGCAUGAUAUCAUAUGAAUGUUCAUUAAUGGUUCAAAUAGGGGUUGUAUAGAAUUAUUAUUAUUACACUGACUAGGGAUCAACCGAUAUUGAUUUUUUUUAGAGCCGAUACUGAUAAUCUGUGAACUUUAAGCCGAUAGCAGAUAGCUUACCGAUAUUCUGUACAUUUACCGUAAUUUUUUUUGGAAAUUUUUGGGUGCCAGGUUCCUCUAGUUUUAACCCUGCAGCUGAAAACAUAGCAGUUUCAGAGAAACUGCUAUGUUUCAUGGAGGGUUAAUCCAGCCUCUAGUGUUCUUCAUCACCCUCCCCCCCCCUUUCCCUGUCCCAUAGUGUUAUUCACACCCCCUUCCCUGUCCCAUAGUGUUCCUUACCACUCCCCCUUCCCUGUCCCAUAGUGUUCCUUACCGCUCCCCCUUACAUAGUGUUCCUUAUCACACCUUACAUAGUGUUCCUUACCAACCCCACCUCCUGUCCCUUAGUGUUCU
rnacentral:lncRNA from 1 species